CAUACUGUUUCCAUGUGCUCUCCUCUCUCAUCACACCAACACACCUCCACUGGGUAUCACCACGCAUCACACUACCACCUGCAACCAUGCAACCCUACAGCCUCACUAUGUCUGCCUGUCACUCUGCCUCAGCUCUACUGAUCACAGAAUCAUAGAAUAGUUAGGGUUGGAAAGGACCUCAAAAACUUCACCACCGAACACCUAGUCGCUUGUGUACAUCAGAAUUACAAACUCUUAGUUUUAUGUAGGUUUUUAUGUUGUUGUGCUGAAAAGCCUGUUUGCUUUUCCCACAUACAUGGAUAUAUUAAAAUACACCUGGCCUCAUUUAAUUUCCCCAUAUUAGCAGACACAGGUAGAAUGCAAUGCACUAUUUCAGUUGGAAGGGACCUACAACAAUCAUCUAGUCCAACUGCCUGACCAAAGUUGGUCAGGGUGUCUGUAAGCUGACCAAAAGUUAAAGCAUGUUGUUGAGAGCAUUGUCCAAAUGCCUAUUAAAUACUGACAGGCUUGGGGCAUCAGCCACCUCUCUAGGAAGGCUGUUACUGUGUUUUACCAUUCUCUUGGUAAAGAAAUGCUUCCUAAUGUCCAGUCUAAACCUCCGCUGGUGCAGCUCUGAACCAUUCCUGCAAGUCCUAUCUCUUAUGACUUUUUCUUAAAUUAGAAAGAUAGUGUGUGGUGUUUGUAACACUGCAGUCUUCUAUAAGGAUGCCACCUCAUUUUUUACAAACAGGGCCUCAGCAAUUGCUAUCUUCAAAGAAAUCUA